rnacentral:lncRNA from 1 species
GCUAAGGCCAAAGAUCAACUCACCUGUAAUAAAUUCGACCUCAAGGUCACCAUAAAACCAGCACCGGAAACAGAAAAGAGGCCUCAGGAUGCCAAGAACACUAUGAUCCUUGAGAUCUGUACCAGGUAAGAAGCUAGGUCACCGGGGUUCAUCUUGGCCAUCCCUCUAUCUCUAGCAAGAAUUCUUGCAAAUAAUAUCCAUGAUAUUCAGUACUUUCCAAGUACACUGUGUAUCUGAUACUGUUCUAAGUAUCCACCAUGAGGUAGACAACACAGACAGU